rnacentral:tRNA from 1 species
ACCUACCUAGCUCAGUUGGUAGAGCAUCUGACUAUUGAUCUCAGGGUUCUGAGUUUGACCCCCAUGGUGGGUA